rfam:Rhodobacter aestuarii strain DSM 19945 genome assembly, contig: Ga0111637_114
AUGGGCGGGGAUCGCCACCAGUCAGCGCGUUGCGCCCACUGGUGCGUUUGAC